CUAUAAUUGCAUUGUUUUUACAAUAGAAACUUGUUUAUGGCUGUAUUUUUCCAGGUUUAGUGCUGAUAAAAUCUGAUAAAACUUUCUGAAUUUCAAGAUCAGAUCUACACCACCUGGAAUCUUGUUUAUGAAAAGGAAAGUAUUUUCCUACCUCUUCCCGUGCAGCUGAGUAAUUACUUUAAGUCUGAUGUCUUUGUGUUAAAUGGCAUUGCUUCAAACUCUGUGCAUGUCAAACAGAAGAAAGCUGGGAGAGUUUGAAAGGUUAUCAUCGUUUCUCUUAGAAUUCCUGUGUACUGAAACCCUUCAGAGAUGGCUGCCUACUGCAAGUCGCUGUUUGACAGCUUCACUCAACUUCAAGGCUCGUCAAUUCACAGGGCAAUCUGACAGCUCUCAGGCAAUAAAGUAAACAAGGGAUUUGGAGCAUCAGAGAAGGAAUGCUUAAAAUUAUUCCUAAUAUUUCUCCUAUUCAUAACAUGUCACCGAGCUUGUGAAAUUAUGAAGUCAGAAAGUCUCAGCUUCUUAUGCAUCCCAGCUGGUGUUCACAGGGUGAGUGAAGGCUUUGCGGAACACUGGCAACUGGUUUCCACGAGGUAUCAUCCAGAUUCAUUCCAAUGACUUUAUUCCCAGUAAUAAUGAGAGGCAUUGUUCUGAUGACUGGGGUUCCAGGUACUUUCUGUGUUAGUUUCACUUGGAGGGCAAUUCAGCUUUGGUGGAAACAGUGCAGUUGUACUUUAAGACCGAAUAUGACCACACUGUGGGUUUUCUGUGUAAUAAUGUCGUUAAAGGAUCCUUCUCUCAAAGGAGGCAGGAAGCCUGCAGAGCAGACACUUUGGUUGCACAAACACUCUCAUGCAGAACUCCAGCGGUGCAGGAACCUGCUGAGGGCUAAUCGCUGCGUGAACCCAACCACUUCAGUACCUGUUUAUGGGCUCACAACAUAUCUGCACAAGAACCAACAGGUUGAGAUAGUUUUUCUCCACUGCGUUCCAUGCAGUUGUUCUGGAAAGGAAUAGCAAAGCUGUGCAAGGCUUCACGAUGAACAAACUUCUUCCUGUAAAGGCAAGACCCUGCCAAAAUAAAUAGGGACUGCAGCAAAUGGUACAGAUGGUCAUUUCUUUCAAAUAGAAUCUCAGUGUAUAUAACAUUGCUGUUAAAGCCUGGGAGAGUCAACAUACGCCACUUGUCAUGGAGGGAAAAAAGAAAUGAAAGAAGGAAACGCAUAUUUAAUUUAUUUUUUUUCAAAUAAACAAGCCAUGUCCAGGUAACCAUGUGAGGCACGGAACAAUUGCAAAGGUUAGCAUUAAACAUAAGAGCUUUAAUUCCAAAAUGGUGACUUUUCACAGAAAUAUGUGACCGCAUUGAGGUGUACAUUCUGAAAACCCAGAUGCUGCUGUCACUACCAAUAAAACUGUUACAAACUUCCAACUUUUGGUGAAGUUAUUGCAUAUGCUCUUUCCUUUACUGAAUGGAAAUGUCAAAUAUAAUCAGAGGUAAAAGGAAGGUUGGGCCCUGCUUUCAGGAGCAUGUAAGCAGCGCUUGGGCAGGAGCAAAGCAGUGCUUGGGCAGGAGCAAAGUAGUCCACUUAGCCGUGGUGAGUUUGGGCACUGGUGUAUGCUGGGAAUGCUUCUGUAGGCUGAGGCGAUGGUGACUACUGAUCAGAGCAGCUGGCUUCCAACAGACCUAUUCCAUUAAUUGGUAACAUGGACAAGGAAAGUCCCACAUUUCUACUCGGUGUUACAGUAAAAAUACAAGGAUAAUUUUUAAUUGCUUUCUUGACAUGCUUGUUCAGCAAGCAUGUUUUAACGAUUCUUUUGCCUUUGAAAAUACUUUUGAGUUUAGGUGUAGGCACAUCACAAUAUUUCAUUCACAAGUUCAAGGGUACUACAUACAGCUGCCAAAAAAUCUGCUUUUGUAUCAUUGUCCAGCUUCCCUACUCUCAUUAUUGGUUUCUAGUUAGUGCACUGGGAAUAUGUGGCUGUCAUUCAAAUAGAUGAAAAUCUUUGGCAUUGAAAAUAUAUGCAGUGGUGUCUGUUUUUUAAAGGAAAUAUGCCCCUUCUUACCAUUGCUUGGUUUCUUGAUCAGAUAAAACCUAUCUUGUGCUAACGUUUAAAUAAAAUGCACUGCAUUCUGACCCAACAAUAACAAAAUCAAAUCCACUCAUUGCAAAGUUUCAUAAGCUCUUAAAAUAUAUUCAGACAGUGUGAUGAUAUUAAUAGGGAGGCAGAUAUCAGGUUUCAGCCGACAAAGCAAACCACACAGUGGAAAAUGAGAAGUGCUGUGCUUACUGACUUCAGAAUAAAAUGGAAGACAAAAGCCCCAUCAGAAAUUAUAUCUAUAGUCUAACGCCAUACAUUUAUACAGGGAAUUGUACUGAAAUAUCUCAAAGAUGUUUCACAGAGAGAGACAUUUUUAUCUUAUCUCCACAUCUAGGUGGUUGAGGUAAAAAGGCUUAGCAAUUUUGACUCAGAUUUCAGAAAAAGCAUUUUCCAAGGUAUGUCUCAACUAAGGCUCCGUAAGAAAUUAGGUAAUAUCCCAAUAGUUGCCAGUUUGUAGGGCUAUGAUAUGAUUUUCUCCAGAGGGGAUGCAUGAUUCUUUCCGGAUCUCAGUAAGAAAGGCAUACAACUACAAAUAAUGUAAUCAAAUUGCUUUAAAGAUUAUAAAAAUAGGAAGGAAAGUGUAGGUAGAGGGUAAAUUUUAUGAUUGUUCAGAUGCUGGGAACCCUGCUUGCAUGCAACAUAAGACAGAGCCCAGGUGGACAGCCACAGCACUGUCUGCAGUGAGGUUCAGUCUCUCUCCCAAAUCAUGGAGUCUUUUAUUUAGUAUAACAAACAAAACAGUAUUGCCUGUCUGAUAGACAGUAGUGUUCUUUUUCUCCCUGUCCACCAGAGCACAUGCAGCAGCUGGUACCCAGGAGCUACAUCCAGGAACAGUACUUGUUCAGGCUCUUCCAGCAUAUUGUCUGACACUACCACAUGUGUAGGACUGUACAGUGAGACUUCCAAUUGAGAAGGAAAACUCCUUAAUAUAGAACUGUUAAAAAGGCUUUUCACUAAUACAGUGGGUUUUAAUUUUCUCUGCCUGAUGAUGAUCAGCAGAUGUUUUGCAUACCCAUCUUCAUUUGUGUGAGGAAUACCUGGUGUUUUAUUAAAUGAAGAUUGUCAGUAUGUGAGCAGAGAAACUCCUAACAGAAGGCAAACCAGUCUUUAUUUCUGUGUUAAAUUUGAGAGUUUACAUAGUAGUAUGUAUUACAGACAUCCAGAAAUGCCUGCUUGCUAUAGUCUCUGUUUUAGGAUUUUUAAUAAUUAUUAUAUUUUAAACUUACUUACAAAGGCUUGAGUACUGAUACAUUCACUAUAAUUGCAUGUCCAUGGUAGGUCUUGUGCUAACUCAUGGAAAUAGUGGAAUAAGAACCACGGACAGCUUAAAUACUAAGGAAUGUUUGAUUCAGCUUGGAUAGCAUAGAUGACAUUGGUACAGGGAGUGAUUUAUAUACCAGUUCAUUUAUUAGUGAAUUCUUUGUGCAAAAGCCAAAAUAUUUCUUAAAGUGUUUAAGCUCAUUUAGCUCUUGGCUUCUGCGGGUAAUCAAAAUGUUGUCUUCAGCUGCUUUGUUGAAAAACUAGGAAGAAGUUGUUCAUGGGAGUGUCUAGAAUCCAGUAAAGGUUAUAAAACCCGGAUGCCCAAAUUUAUCACAGAAAUAGACUCUGAAACAAAUUUCACUCUUGGCAUUGCUGUGCACCUGUGACCCCAUGAAGGAAGAAGUUAGCAAACUGUGUAGGCAAGUUGUCCUUGUUUCUUGAAUUCUUUCUGUUAAUGGGCUUAAGUGCUGCUGCUACUAUAUAAACAGGAAUUGAAACACAGGUUGUCUAAAUGCAUUGCGUUUGAAAAAUUGAUUGAAUUUGGUUCACUGUCAGUGAUUGACUGCUUGAUAUUGAACAACUGUGCACAGUUGAACCAUGGAUUUUCUUGUGAGCUAUACCAGGUUGCACUGUAUAAUGUUAUUUUGUUAAUGCAGAGAUUCAUUAUUUGUAUACAUACUCUUUUUUUGAUGCAGUAGAAUACAGUAAGUACUGCUGAUGGGUUGCAACUUUCACAUCAUCUCUGCCUCUAACCAGAAUUGUCUCUACAACACUGUGUACUGCACCACAGAGGCAAAGCAAUUGGUCUGACAUGGUUGGGGCUGACAUUCUGGAUGAGAGAUUUUUGUGCCCACAAAUGGUUGAUGCUCUCUCUCUUAUCAGAUGCUAAGGAAAAUGCAUCUACAGGUGUCCAAAGGUUCAUCAGCCGAUGAUAAUUAUAUGGGCUUCAUCAGAUUGACUGAGCAGUCAUUGCAUGCCUUAGCAAGUUGUUAGUGGCACAGAGUGCUCUGGACUGUUAAUCUCUGGUUAACACAAAGCAGUGUCCUUGCCAUUUUCUGCCCAUUGAUGCUUCAGGUUUCCUAAAUUGUUAACAUGUUUGUAUUUCAACACGUGCCCAGGAAUAAGCAAACAGAGUGCUAACUUCUACAUCAGAUCCCUUAUUCUUCCAUGCACCCUUGUUGGUGAAAGGAAUAAAAGAGAACUUUCUCCUAUAUAUUUCUGCAAUCAAUGUUUCUUCAGCAUUCUCUUUUUCUGUUUAACCAUGGGGGGAAUUCUUCUGUCUAUUGGUACUACCUGUGGCUGAAUUAACUUUGGAAGAGCCUGUGUUCAGCACAGAGGAUGCUCUGAGGAUAUUGGGUUUAGGUGAUCUCAGUGUUAUGCUAAGAUAACCACAUUCUGCCAGCGUACUGAUUCUGUCCCCACCAGAUGGGCUGGAUAUCUUCUGUUCUUUCCUCUUUGCCUGGUUUACUGAGGCACUUAACUUGCAUGAAGUUUUAUUCUUUACCUCCUCUCUACUUUGCUCCCUCUGGGUAACUCUUCCUUUAUGCUAUAUUCACCAUUAUUUCUUUUUCUGACUUACAGAACAGUGGGGUUUAUGAUUGUUUCACAUAAGCUGGCCAAAACUUUGAUGCUGGUUGAGUAAUCUUUAAUUUGGGUAAUCUGUAUGCUCUAAGGGUUUUUGAGACAGUAAUGAGCCUUCAGUAUUUAUAGAUUACUCGUGCUAGCUAUAGACCAUGUUAAUAAAAUUCAAGAAAAGACAACCUGAGAUCUAUGGAGAUACAGUCUGCAGAAGUUUACAGCUGAGAAAUACUGGUUUAAAAACGACAAGAACAGUGACUUACUGUAAGUGAAUGAAACAGAUAUUUGAAGUUCCAACUCCAGGGAAACAAAACAAAAGUAACUACCACCCCAUGGACCCUCUCUCUGAUGGGAGCAAAGGCACUGGUAACUCACUGUAGCACACUGAUUUCCAUUUCUGAAAAUUAUGUAUGUAGUAUUUUGCCUCCAAAAAACAAACAAAAAAACAAACAAACAAACAAAAAACCCUAACAGGUAUAGCAUAUUUUAAAAAUCUCUAGAUUAUAGAAAUUCAUUUCUUAACUACAUAGUGACAAUAACAAUUGGUGCGUACAACAUUCAGUGUACUGUAUAAGCUUCAGCUGACAUUCCCCAUUUCUAUGCCUUUUUCACAGCUAUCCUGUGUAAAGACAAGCAUAUACAUUCUCGUUGGAGUUUUUGUGUCGAUAGAUACUUACACAGAGAAGCCAUCUUUGGGAGAUCCAUCACAGUGGAAGACUGCCUAAAGGAAACAGCCAGUACUGUUCAUCCUCAAGAAGCCACAAGACUGAUGUAAGAAAAUAAGAAUGGGAAAACACAUUAACUAACAGGUGAAGGAAGAACUUGGUUAAUAUUUUAUUUAACUGAGGUGAGUUACAGUUAUACAGUUUAUAUACAGUGAGGCUAAGCAUUAGUGAGCUUUUACGUAUAUACUUUGAGUAAAUCACGUAUUUUUAAUCAUGCCUACUAAAUGAGAGGAAAGUGUCAUAAGAGAAGCUGUAAAUUUGGACAAAAAUACAAAAUGUGGUGAAUGAUACACUAAUCAAUAUAAAAUUACAAUUUUAGAGACUAUUUAUCUAAUUUUUCUACUAGAAUUAAUGAGUUCUGUCUUUUAUUUUUGCUACAUAGUUAAUGCCUACUGAAGACUUAAAUGGCAAAAAUAAUUUCAUUUUAUAUCAGCUCUGUCGCUACUCUUCAGGCUUUUACAAGAUUCAGCUUAUUUUAUUGGAAAUAUUAGUAGUCCUUUCAUUAAUACUGUAAGAAAAGAGUUGCAGAACAUUUGUUCGUAGGCAUAAUUUUUGAUGUAUAGUUCCAGAUGUAAGGAAGCUGUAUUGUAUGUUCUGAGGUUUUCCUAUUGAGCAUUUCUGAAAUUUCAGAAAUGAGCACUGAGUAGGUCUAAAAGAUGCAGUAUGGGGUGCGUGAGAGAUAUUUUUGACACAAUAGGGUCAGAGAAGUUAAAGACACGUUCUUUGCUGGCAAUUUUGGCAGAAAUACUAAAACACAAUGUGGGUACUGCAAACCUUAUGACAUUCGGUAAAAUGUGAAAGGCUUCAGGUCUGUAAUAUAUGAUUUGAUGUCAUGUAUAUGGGUUGGUAGCUUUUGCACAAUAUAUAACAAAUCUCACUUUUUGUCUGAAGUUUGAAAAGAUUUUCCCAGUGUAAAUAACUCAUGCCUGAAGUACAGUGUGAAUUUAAAACCUCUUACUGUCCAAGUGUAAAAAAGCUCAUUCCAUGACGUUGCAAAUAAUUCAUUCUGUAUUCUUAGUUAUAUGGCUCCAUAUAAUGGUGUAAACCAUUAUGAGAAACAAACUUCUGGCAUCAAAAUGAGAGAUUUAUGAAGGCUACUUCCCCACUACAAAAGUAGGGAAUCAAUUACCCAGCCAUGUCACUGGAACUCGAUGUUCAGUCACAGUUCCCCAUUGCUGGAUCUUUUAUUUGCUGCUCUUGUGUGGGCUGCAAUAAAUAAAACAUGGUUAGACCUUUCUGCUUUUGCUAGUUGAGCUCCCCUGGCUUCCACCACUGGAAUGCAGGAUUGUAUCCUGGGAGGCAGCAGUGUAUUUCAGAAUUAGUUCAGAAAAAGGUCUGCAAGCCUUUCUGUGUAACAGUAUUUAUGUUGUACUCAACUGUGUUUGCUCUUAGGGGUGUGGGAAGGUGUGAGAUGGUGAGUCCAUUGUACUUAGGACACCUGUUUGAUCAGCAUAGGGACUGUCUGCAGUAGAGAAGUAAUCCAAACAUGCAGAAAGGCGAAAGCACCUAUGAACAGCUGUACUGGAUCUGGACAAAGCUAGAUCUGGGUCUGGAAACAGUGCAGGAAAGAGUGUAAGAAUUAGGUAAAGCCAGAGAAAAUUCAGCUCUGAUAUCAUUUUAAGAAUGAUGCACCAAAGCUCAGUGUGAAACCUUGUCAGAAGAGCAGUGAUGAAAUGACUGGGGCAUCUAACCUAUGUGUAGCAGCUGAGAGAACUGACACUGUUCAACCUGGAAAACUACUGAGUCCUUAUCACCUCUACUGUUAUACUUAGGUUAUUAACUAAAUGCUAGCUUUGACCAUGGCUAUGAUCUUUCAUCCCUCCAUCCUAUCCCACCUUUCUCUGCAUUUAUCCACUUUCCUCUUCAUCUGGUGUCUGAAAGCUCCAGCGCUUUAUCUCACUGCCAUCAUCUCUAAGUGAUGUGAGUCUUUGCCUUGUCUUUGUGAAGAUUAUCCCUUGUUCUCAGCUCUUCCUUGUUUUCUCAUGGGAAGCUGCAUGUAGAUGUGCUGGGAACUCAUGUGCCUGCUAAUCUGGGUGUCAUCAAUGCCCGCCAUUUUUAUGCACUUUCUUCUGCUCCUCUUUCUGACACUUCCACACUCAAAUAUGCCUCUGUUUUCUAUCCCCCCAAUCUUGGCUUACUAUUACUGGGCUCUCCACCACAGUCAUUUCAUAUACCCCAAUGUUCCUUCUGAGCUGAAGUUUGCUUCCAUAGUUUGCUAAAGUCUUUAUCCAUAAUUUGCUCAAGCAUACAUCCAUAUUCAUCGUUGAUAUACUUUUAUUUCCCCCCUUCUAGUAUGUCAAAUUGUUUUUUGAACAUAUUUAUAGUGGAGUACAUUUUUUCAUCCACAGCAUUGCAUGGUAAUCAAUUUACUAUAAAUCCUGUGGGUGAAAAAAAAUGCUUCAUUUCAUUUGUUUUACAGCUGCUGCCUAAGAGUUUGCUUUGGCAUCCCCAGGGUCUUAUUUUAGGAUAAAUAACAAGUAAUUAGCAAAUAUUAACCUUUCUAUUCCAGACACAAUUUGAAGUCUCUAUCUUCCACUAGUCAUUUCUUUUCAAAUCUGAAUAAUCACAGUUCAUUUCUCCUCUUCUCUUCCAAAUAUCAUUCCAUACUGUGAAUCACUCUUCUUGUUUUUCUCUGUCUUUCUUCUGCUCUGCUGAUUUCUGUGAUGUAGGAAGUAAAGGUGCGCACAACACAUACAACACGCAGAUGGGCCAAGGGAUUGAGCCACAGCUUGGUAUUGUAUCACUGCAUUGUUCUCUGUUUAUUUCUUAGCCAUUCUAAAAAUUCCAUUUACUUGUUUUGCCUGUAUUGAGCAACACUGUCUGAUGGAUGUAUCCACAAAAACUCCAGAAUCAUUUCCUGUGUUGUGGUGAGUAAUCAAAAGCCAUAAAUGUAGAUGUUUUUUUUUUUUUCCUUCUUCAUAGAUUCGUUUGCAUUUGUUCUUAUUGAAUAUUAGCUGGCAUUUUUUACCUGCUUCUUUUGCAAUUCUUUGCAAUCUUGACUUUACUGUGUGAAUAUUUUGCUCCCAUCACCAAGCCUCAUAACUUUAUUACUUACUUCUGUAAAUCAGUCAGAUAACACAGGUUCCAGCUCAUUUAGUCUUUCAAAUAUCUGAAUAGAUCUGUGCUGCGUUGCUUCAUCUGUCAAAGGGACCUAGGCUGACCUCCCAUUAAACUAUAUGUAUGCAACUCUUUGCUAGCAUUCCAAAUAGGUUUCUACUGAUUUGCAUGAUAAACAAAUCUGACUUCCUGAUCAAUACUUUUCCAAGCUGCCAUUCCACCUCCUCAAGAGGAAAAAAAAAAAAAAAAAAGCCCCAGUCAUGUCUUGCCUCUUCCUUGGAUUGUACUGACAGAGAUUCAAGCAGUAUAAGUUGUAUAAGUGACAGUCGUUAGAAAAUUUCUUCUCUGAGUUUCUUCAGUACUUCUGAGUGAAAGUCACCUCCCCCUGACAAUUUGUUUAUGUUUUAGUGCUUUGUUCUACAACUUUUUCUCCUGACAUUUCAGUUUGAGACAGUUCUUCCAGCUCACCCCCUUGAGAGGAAGGAAUGCUCAAUAAGUUUCUCAGUAAUGAAUUAGAAUCAAGUAGCUACUUUUCUAUAACUCUGUCUUCUGCAAGUGCUCCAAUUAGACUGUGAUCUUUUAUCAGCCCUAGAGGCUCUCUGGCAGGCUUUCUGCUUCUGAUGUUUUUGAAGAAGAUUUCUAUUCUUUUUUUCUUUUCUUUCCCACAGAAAGUUGUUUCUCAGAGUCACUUCUGUCUUUUUUUACUCUGGUUUUAUUUUUGACUCACUUUAGUUUACACAGUUUUCUAUUUUUCUCUAUUGUAGAUAAUCACUUUUUGAAUCAUGCCUUUUCAUUUCUAAUAUUCCUCUGCACUCUGAUGCUUAAUUCUGCCAACUUUUAUUUCAGUUGCCUUAAAAUCUCUUAAUGGUCAUAUAUGAUUUGCUGAGUGUCUAGAAUGUCAUCUGUAGACAUUUCUGUACCACUCAUAUAUGCAACUUUUUUUUUUUUUUCCCCUUUUCUAACCCACCAGUUAAGUUUUUCUGGGAUAGACUUUCAGCCUGGGCUUUUUAAAUAUGCCAAGAAGGUAAAUUAUGAAUACAUCAUGAUCACUACUUUCAAAAGUAGCAUUUUGAGUCAGAAUCUCUGCUAGGUUCAGAAACCAAUCUAUCAACAGUCUCUUUAUUUUUGGAAGUUCUCUGGCAACUUUCCUCAAGAAUUGCAGUGUCCAAAAGCAUAGUGACUGCAUGAAGUGACUGUUGCUCAUCUAUGUGUGAUUUCUGUGUGUUUUCUACCCCUCAGAUUGCUCUGAUCACAUUUAACAUGUCACCAUCAACCUCUUGAUGGGGUUGUCUUACUUUAUUUUACCAAGCUUUGAAGGUGUCUUGCUGGUGAGGUUUAAACCCAAACAUCCUAGGUCAGCCUUCUAACAUUUGUAUGGAAAGAAGGAAAUAUUUACUAAUACUUGUGGUCUUGUCACCUAUUCUGUGUGCUGUUGAGAUGUCAUUGUUUCCUAUCAGAAUGUUAUUGAUUCCUGACUUAGUUUGUGUUUUUUACAAAGUUUGGCAACUUUUUAUAACUUUCCCAGAAGAGGAUGAGUCAUUCCAAUAUGUGCUCUUUCCACAGUCUUUCAUUUUAAAACUCCCCUGAAAUCUUUCUAACUUUAAAUGCCUACUCUGUGAUUUUGUUUGGUGUUGACAGAGAUUUUCCUCUUUAGGUUUGUUCCGAGGGGCCCUGGGCUACUAAUUAAUGCUUUUCAUUUUUAGUCCCUAUUUUCUGAUCAGUCGGAGAGAGACAGAAAGAGACUAGUUGGCCAAAAUACUGUUUUAUAGCACUUUUCAAUAACUGUGUACCAGUUGCUUAGGUCAGUGCAUGUCUUCAGUUAAACAAAUAUAUGCCUCAACUGUUAGGGUGGAAGCUGCUCUCUCCUGAAGUAGAGUUAGGCCAGAGCUGGGGAAAAGACUAUUGGUCUGAAUUUUGCUUCUCGCACAACAGAUUUGUUCAGAGAUAUUUCUGUUAUGUCCACAGAAAAAUGCACUUGUUUAUGUAAUAACACCAUAAAUUCCUUAUAAAUUAUAUGAAUGAAGACAGAUAUCUAGAAUAAGUGUCACAGCUAUCAGUGGUUCUGAAUACUUUCUGAGCUGGAAAUAAUUUAAGCCAAACAGUAGAAUAUAGUGAGAAGACAGCGAAACUGGGAAAUACAUUUCUCAGUAAUGCAUAUAUAUUUAACGCAAAGCUGGUAGAUAGUGCCUCUGUAGAACAAGAGUUCACCUUUCAGGAAAUUCCCCUGGGAUUUGUUUCCCAAGACUUACUGGGUGGCGUCCUAUAGAAUAAGGAAAUUAACUACCAUAGCAGAUGAAUCAACUAGGGAGAGUUUUCAGAGAAAGCAUCUUGGGUCCAUUAAUGAAUGCAGAAUUAUAGUCAUAGUUUUUCUUUCUGUCUCAAUUCAUAUAGCAGUCAGAGUACUUGUGAAGAUUUGGCCUUUCUUUCAAAUUUUGAUUCUAACUCAAUUUUGAUUUAACAGAGAAGAUUCAGAAUGAUGUAUGAAACCUGCAAAUUUUCGAACCAUGUGAGAUGUUGAUAAUGAGAUGAAAGACACUUUUCUGGCUGAAAAUGAAACUUUGUAUAUCUUCAUCACAGUGACUCUGGAGAUCAGUAGAUAUCUGUGAGCUCAGUAUUUCACUUACUCUUCUAGCAGCUAAUGAAGGCUGAAGUAGACCAAGAAUUGGGGCAGCAUAUGUCAUUAUUCUAGGGCUUGUGUUCAGUGAAUGACCAAAACCAUCUGCAAAAUAUUUUUGAAGGGAAUGAGCACCAUAUCGCUGAAUAUUGCACUGAAGGAGAAACUGAGAAUUAAUUUCCAGGCUCAAGCUGGCUUGCUGCUUCCUUGUAACAAGAGACCAUUUCUACACGAGCAGCUUAUAAAUAAAGUCUUCUCAUUGAAUGUGGAAAAUAUUGCACACACUGUGUAAUGUAUAUUUUAAAUAAAAAAGUCUCCCUUGUUGGAUUGGCAGCUUGAGGCUGCUCCAUUAGCUCAACAGCAGACCUUGUGGGCCCCUUGGCCUCAUCCCACCAACUCUAGCUUAGCUAGGGAAGUUAAUUUUGAAUUUGGCAUGGGCACAAAUUUAUUUAAGGCAAUGUUUGUUAGGUUCUAGCUGGUGGAUGGAAAAUAUUGUAUUUGGUGCCCAAAUUAUGACCUCCUGUGCGGAACUCCAGCUUAAACUUAGAACUAAGAGUAGGAGAAAAUGAAAAGUGUAGGCAUAGAUGUACUUCAUGAGUUUCAGCUACAAAUGUCUUCAGCUAGCUAAAAUGCUCAGCAGCAGAACUCACAAGAAAAAAAGCCUCAUCCUAAAAGAUUAGAUGUGUCCCUGGUCCCUAAAAUUCCUUAUCAGCUAAGAAACCUCUAACAGAGUUUACUAAGUGAAAGAGAUUAACAGAACAAGAUUUUAGUGGACCUAAGUUGCUCAAAAAUAAUCUCUAUUUCCCCUUCAGUCAGAAUUUGCUGUCAGGUACUUUCAAGGCCUUUUCUUUGAGCAAAUGCAAUUUUCUUUUUCUUUUUAUUAAGGAGAAAUUCACUGUGUUUCUGCACUGCUAGUUCUGUCUACCCUUCAGCAAUUUUGCCCUAGCUCUUCAUUUUGUAGAUGACUAAUAUUGUCUCUCCUCAUCUUUCUCACCCCAUUCCUGCUUCCAGCUCUCAUAAACACUGUCAUUACCUUGGUUUCUGUGGCCCACAUAGGCUUUAACCAGACUAACAGUGUUAAAGAACCACGAUGCCAUUGCUGGGUAAGCAAAGGAACUUUAAUACCAAGUUCCUUUUAUGAGGAAAGGAAACUUUCCUGAGAAAGAACAAAUAAACUUGCCCUUUGUUUUGAAAUUUCCUCUGUUUAUUUUCAGCUCAGUACUGUAUUUUUUCCAUGUUAAGGUUUUCAGGUGUCUUACUUAUUUUUUAUGGUUGUUACAACUUUAACAUUCAUCAAAACUGAAUAACUAAAAUUGUUUUGGUUUAGACAUAGCAAUAGUAUGAGUCAUGUCAGUAAAUUUGUUCAACCAUUUACUGAAGUCUGGAGUCUUACAUUCAUCUGCAAUACAUACAUACUUGAGAGGAACGUUGCUUAAUGGCUGCCCUCACGAAGACAUUCCUUUAUGUCUUUCUCCAUUUGUAACUUAUUCCUGCUACUGCCAUGCAGUUGUGACUUUCCUCCCCUCUAUUUUUGUCUUCUACAAAGAUUUGAUGCAAGAGCUCAGAUGGAAAGCUCCAUUUGAGAGGAGGCAAUGUGAGCAAUAACCAAGUUACCCUAUGUCCUCUUAAAGCAGGAAACGGGUUGGAGAAAAAUAAGGGUAAUGUUCUGGUUAGCAAGUCAGGCAAGUGAGCAUAUUGACAUUUUCUUGAAAGAAAUGCAAGCUAUACAAGCUUUAUUAAUUUGCUACAGGAAGCUAUGGGAGUCAGAGUUAUGGAUGCCAAACUGGCAUUAUGUCUUGCAUUAUUCCAGUAUAUGAGUCUUCUUUUUCAAAAACUAACAACAUAGACUUAGAAAUUAUCUUACAUUUACUUAAAGGCACUAGCAAUGUGUUUCAAUGUGAAAGCAGUUAUAGUUCUUUGCCUCCAAAUAAGCAUAAGACAACCUGAAUAUAUUUGAAUAUGAAUAUACGUUGCUGAAGCUUUUAAAGGUUGGUAAGUUCUACACUAUUGUUGCCACAAAUGACUGGUUCUCAGAUAUACAGUCAAGAUUUGACAGCAUAAAAAUAAUUUUUGAGUACUGCACAGGUACAGAUGGAAUAGUUAUAGUUGCUUUGUCAAGUAUAUAUCUGUAUUUCAUGAACCUUGUUCAUUCACCCAUACUUUUCUAGGAUAACGACACACUCUAUCCUUUUUUUCCCAAGAUCAGCUUUCAUAAUUAUAUGUAGAAAGAACUGUAAACUGAACACAAAUCUACUUUAACGAUGUUUUAUGGUAGCCUUUAUUUUACUGGCCAGUAAAUGAGAGGAAAACCUCCUAAUCUUGCCAAUACAUUUUUUCAGACUCUCUCCCAGCAACCGCAUUUCUCCUUCCCAAAUCACUGUAGUUUCUCGCAUUUCUAACUUGCUGACUGAACGGCUGUCUGAUGAAAAAUCUGUUGGAAUGUGGAGUAACUGAACUGAUAAAUGAAUGUCAACAAUUUGACUAAUCCUUGGUAGCAGAAAGUCCACAUGAAGUGCUUGAACUUAAAGACAUAUGCACAAAGAGGCAGUUGUACACACCAUUAUGUUAGCAUUUUCUUAUGAGACCAUUAUAAUGUUAUAAUGAAAGCAAACAGAAGGUGUGGUUUUCUUCAUUCUGCUUAAUGAAAAUGAUAGUUGUUAUUUCUUUUAAGUGAAGUGUACCUAUAAAGUUCUAUUCAUGGGUACUUCCAUGGAAUGUAGUUUUUGGGUGGUUUGAAGAACAUCUGAGAUGUAAUUUACAAGUACACUGAUGUCAUGAAACAUGAGAAACCUUCUGAAUGUUGUGUGUGAAUCUAGCAAGUCAUCUUGAACACUUGUACAACUGGAAUGCACUUGGUCACUCUGAAAGUAAUGCCUCCUAUUUAAUUCCAUGGAAACUGCAGCAGAAGAGCAUUAUCGCAUUCUUUGAUAGAGCAAAUUCUCAGCUACAAAACACUAUUUUUCAGUGUAUUCACCAUCAUUAGCUAAGCAUUUUCACUUACAAUGAACAAGAACCUGCAUAUCAUGCUCAUAAAAAUCUGCAGCAACAGUGGUGACAUACUCUUUCACAGCUGUUGUGAUAGUAUCAUUUUUAGGAAAAUGUUGCCCAUGCAGUCCAUCUUUCAUCGGCCCAAACAGAUGGAAGUCAAGACAGUUCAGUGGGUGAGGUAGGACAGUGCAGCCAAGAUUGGCAAUGUGCUCCAUGGUCUUCAAACUGGUAUGGGCCUGGUGUUAUCAUGUUUCAAGAGAAAGGUUAUCUUCUUCUCUGGUCUGACUCUGGAAUUCAAGCCUUCAGCUUAGUCAGCAUCGUGAUGUAGCAGUCAGAGUUGAUGGUUUGUCUGGAUUCAAGCUAAUCCAGAAGAAUCACCUCUUUCCUGUCCCAAAAGACAGAGUACUUUACCUGCUGAGGGCUGAACUUUUUCUUUGAUGGGGAUUUCAUAUUAACUGCCAUUUUGACUCCAGCUUGGAAUCAUUGACUGCAGCUGUAAUGGAAAAUUGAUGGGACGGUUCAGCCUCUACUGCCAUAUUACCAACAUCCACUUCCAAUGUUAUAGGCAGCAUAGUAGAAUAAGAGGUAUUACUUUAAGAGCAGUCUUCAUACAUUAACUGAGGCAAAUUAUUUUAUUGCAAUGUGUCUGUCACAAAAACAGCAUAGCAAAGUUUCUGAAUAUAAAUAGUAAAUAUUAAUAGCCUGACCCCAGGAGAAUUCUCCUUAUUUGUUUAAGCUAUCAUCUCCAAACUGGCGUUUGAAAGAGAUGCCAAUACAAUCUGAUGCAAAGUAAAACAGCUGAGUUUUGCACACUGCUUCUCAAGUAACUGUUGGGGUCCAGUGUAACAGUGAUAGCUGUAGCAAAUACUUUUAAAAGCAUCCCUGAGCAAGUCAAGCUACUUUUCAGUAUGUGGUGCAUGUAAAAAAUCUUCUUUGGACAGGUUCAGUAGUAUUCCUUGGCACACUGACAUUUUUAUAAAUGAUGCCUUUUGCAUUUAAUAUUUUUGUGGAAGCUGUUUGCAUGUUAGUGUUUCAGAUGGGCCAGCUUCAAAAGUUUUGGCAUUCAAGAUUCAGCUAAGUGUUUAGAAGUUCAGAGCUUGUCCAAGUUUUAUCCAACCUCUCAAAUAUGAAAACUCAGAGCUGAAACAUCCUUAUGGGAAUAACAUAUUGCCCUCCAAUGAAGCCAACCUUGUAACCCCUUUUGUUUCUGUCUUUUUUUUUUUUCCCUUCCAUAUCUUCCUUUCUGUGGUGCUCCUGAGGUCAUGAUUUUCCCUUAGACCAAGUCCUUUUAGCUGUAUGUUUUCUAAGGACUGAUCACUUUUACAAAUCUCACAGACAAUAAACUAGACCCACUGUACUCAAGUUUAUAUUCCCCUCCCCAGGCCCAUUUUAUAUCUGCUGCAUUAUGUGAUUUUUGUGCCCUUUUACUUUUUUGUUGUUGUUAUUGUUGUUUUUGUUUUAGUGAAUGUGUGAUUGAAGGAAUGUGCCUUUCCCCUGGAGUGGAAAGCCAAUAAGGCUGGUGGCUCCUGCAUUCAACAGAACUUUUUUGUAACUCAGUAGAAGCUGAAAAGGAAAUUGUGUCUCCUGUCCAAGCAAGCAUAAUCCUUUGAUGAGAAAACCUUGAUGGUAUUUUAGAAGAGGAAGAAAAUCCAUCUCUGCAGGGUCACUAGAGACUUCGGCUAUUACUAAUUGAUUCUACACGGAGAGCACACAGUGGGGACAGCCUUCAGUCUGAAGUGGUGAGACAAAGGACUUCCAACCUUCUUUGAAGUGUUGCGUGUGGAAGCUAUUGGAAGUGUAAAAAGUUUCUCUAUGCCUGCACAGGUCUUCUGUUGGGAGCGUAAGGAUGGGGACCUUGGGACACCUCUUGCGUGUAGCACUAAGCUCACCAUUUAAGGAGAGGGAGGGUGUUGAAGGCACUCAACCUGAUUUUUCUCAUCAGUUACAGAAAUAUUCUUGGUAUGGCAUGCAGUGCACCUCCUCAAGACUUUAUUUUCACUUAGAAAUUUAUCUAGCAGAACAACCAUGUAAAAGUGUAAAAUCAUCAUUUGUCCUCUCUGUUGCUGAUCGGUGAGAUCCCUGAUAAUGGGGAUUGUUAAUUCAAGCCUAUGUCCCAAGAAUGGGCAGCAUAAAGGUGGCAGGAGAAAAGCACCUUCUGGCAGCAGCAGAUGAUAUCUACGUGGCAGAGGUGAGCAUGCCAGCACAGAUACCUGGUCUGCAGCUUCAGCCACAACAGCCACCCAGGCAGCACAGUCUACUGCAGAGGCUGCCCCAGGCUUCAGCAGACGUAACUCAGGUUUAACAGUCUGCUCUUCUCAAGUCAAGUCUAGCUCUCUCUACUGACAUUACAGCUGGGACAGGAAAGGCUUCCCCACUCUGAUACAGUUCGCAGGAUCCCUUUAGUCUUCUCUUGUCCUUUUUGUAGCUUAAUGAGGAAGGGGAAGGAUUUCACUUUUUCUUGUAAGGUAAUGAUGUUAUUUUUCCUUGGGGAAAAUGUUGUAUACCUGCAUGUGGUUUGACGUAGCCUAGUACAGUUCAGUGAGAAAUUACUGUCCCCUAGGCAGCAUCUUUGUGAUCACUGAAGGAUGGGCACAAUCUCUGACAGCAGUGGUUUGCCAGAGAGGGGAGUUGAAGCCUACGUAUGUCACGAAAGCUGUAUCCCAUCUUCUUUACCCUCCUCUAGGUGCGCUAGCUGUACACUCCCAUCUAUGCCUCCACGAUGGAGUGGAAGGCUGGGGAUGCCAGAGCUGUCUCUCUCCUCCAGCAGGCCCAUUUGCUGCUGUAAUGUAAUGUGUUGUGACAGCUUUUUGCUGGGCUAGCAAAGAAAAUAAAUACUUUUAAGAAACUGCUGCUGAUCCAAGAGAUGAAACUGAGAAGCUGAUAAUAGUGAGUGGUUAUGAAAGGCAAAUGAUGGUAAUGCAGAAUCUUGGCAGGCUCCUCACAAAAGAAAACAGUACAUUCCUGGCACACCAGGUAACACUUCAGAGUUACUGCCACAAAAGUUUGACUAACUUCUAAAACACAAAUAACCAGCCACCCCACCUCAUCUUGAGGACCAGACAGCAAAACAAUUCAGAUGCCUUGUGCACUUUUAUGAUGGCUUCUGUAAGUAUUGAGUGAUCUCUUUAAUGAGAUCUGACCUUUAGGUUUGGAAUCUGCAUUCUUUCAUUACACUUGAAUUAUUCCAUGUAGAUUAUCUAGUACAGGCUACAAGCUCAGACCUUUUGUUCGUAUAACCUAAAUGUAUAAUUUGAGGGAAAUGUCAUGAAAUGUUGGGAGGCCUAUUAAAUGAACUCUUGCUCAAAAAUGGGGUUUGUGAGGAAGUGAAAUACUGAUUGAACUUAACAGCCUUGUGUGAUUUCAAAAUCUAGAUUUGAGCCUGCAUAUAAAAACAUUUGUCUUGGAUACACUCAGAGUUGAUUUUUAUUUUUUAUGAAUGGCAUGAUUUAAGAAGUUCUUUCUCAAUCAGUAGACUUGAAAAUAACCACAGUGGGCACAUCUCAGGAAUCCCAGGGUUCACCUAAAAGGUGUCUUCAGCAAUAGCUUUUUAAUUAUCCAUGCUCUGUGAUGAACCCUUCUAAGUUCUGCAGAGUGUGGAAAUUGUCAUGGAGAUAGCAGGUCAAAAAACAAGGUUUUCAAUGAACAGGAGAUGUUGACAUUCUUUGGUUUUAUUUUCCAGAAAUAAACACAGUAAAUAAAUAAAUAGUUUGCUGGAUUGAAAAGUCAUUAUUAUUUUUAUAUCUACUAAUAUUUUCAUUUGACUUCUGUAAAAAAAAAAUCCAGUCAUUUACAUAGCU
rnacentral:lncRNA from 1 species